GAUGAACGCUAGCGGCAGGCUUAAUACAUGCAAGUCGAGGGGCAGCAUGAUUGUAGCAAUACAAUUGAUGGCGACCGGCAAACGGGUGCGGAACACGUACACAACCUCCCAAUAAGUGGGGAAUAGCCCAGAGAAAUUUGGAUUAAUACCCCGUAACAUAACGAUGUGGCAUCACAUUGUUAUUAUAGAUUUUUCGCUUAUUGAUGGGUGUGCGGCUGAUUAGAUAGUUGGCGGGGUAACGGCCCACCAAGUCUACGAUCAGUAGCUGAUGUGAGAGCAUGAUCAGCCACACGGGCACUGGGACACGGGCCCGACUCCUACGGGAGGCAGCAGUAAGGAAUAUUGGACAAUGGACGCAAGUCUGAUCCAGCCAUGCCGCGUGAAGGAUUAAGGUCCUCUGGAUUGUAAACUUCUUUUAUAAGGGACGAAAAAAGGCUUUUCUAAGUCGUCUGACGGUACCUUAUGAAUAAGCACCGGCUAACUCCGUGCCAGCAGCCGCCGUAAGAC
rnacentral:rRNA from 1 species